UCAAACGCAGUGAGUGGUGUACAAUAGCUGGGUCUAUAUAUAGUGCAGGAAGUGAAUCGGAUGUAUAUCAGAACCAUAUCUACGUGCGUAGGAGACGGUUGAAUAGGUAGGAUCUUAAAAACAUCAAAAUUCAGAUUCAUUUUCGCUUUUUUUUCAUUCACUAGUUGCACCUGAGAAUGAGGUCUUUUCGCAAUCCCAUUUAGAGCUGAUAGCUAUGCUAAUACUCCUCAGAUCGAAUUAAUCUUUCACAGGCCUAAGUAGAUUCAGGACCAAAAGACUGUCCCUAUAUAUAUUACCCAAUUCAAAGGUUGAUUGUGUUAAUUGGAUGUUAACCCCACGGUUAACUUUUUAUGUGGUAAGUUUCGAUUUUGACUUCUAUAUUAAUGUUGAAUAAAGCUUGCUGACAAAUUUCAAGCUAUAGUUUAAAAUUUAUAAUCAAAGUAGCUUUAAGAGAAUUUAGUUAAUUUACCAAAACAGUCCCACUUGGUUUCAAAUUGAAUGUUUUAUUAUAAAUUCCAUUAUUUUAUCUAUUAUAUAUGUCGGUUUCAUAUAUAUAUAUAUAUAUAUAUACAAAUAAAUGUAUAUCUUUAUCAAAGUAUUAUUAUUAUUAUUAUUAUUAUUAUUAUUAUCAUCAUCUUAAAUCAUAUAUAGACGUCUUUCAAUAUAAAAUUUUUUUAAAAAAAUCCCAAAAUUUCUUCCCUAAGGUAAACAACUCGACAGCAACCCCUUUCUCUUCAUGUGUUACCACACGAACCGGUUAAAGCUAGUGGAUCUCAUCUUUUCUGACGGUUAUAUCAGCGUAAAAAUAUGCCACUUAUGCCUAAGUAGGACACCAUGUUCACAUGGUAAUAUGAUGAAUCAUCAUCCAAGCUGGUGUAAUUACAAGGAAUAACUGAGGGUAGAAAAGAGAGAAACAUAAAUAAGUACACAUUGUUUAUGACUUGAUUUCGGACCUCAUAACCGGUUAAACAAUAACACAUAUAUUAUUAUUUAUAUGUCAGAUUAACGUGACAAAUUAACAUUUUUAAAUUCACAACGCCACUUUGUAUUUUUAUUUAUUUAUUUAUUUUUGUUUGCUAUGCCAUUAUUCUUCUCAAACAGUUGCAGAUACUCGAUUAUAAAUAUGUCUCGACAAUGCCGACCUUUACCAAUAAGAGUUUCCAGUAGUCCUCUUUUGCAUUUUUUUAUUUUUUAUUUUUUAUGGUUUUCAACUUACCAUUUGUUUUUUUUUUUUUUUUUUUUUUUUUUUUUUUUUUUUUUGUGGUUUAAGUACCUUUAUUGACAUAGCCACAAAUCAAUCUACUUAAUAAUAAUAAUAAUAAUAAUAAUAAUAAUAAUAAUAAUAAUAAUAAUAAUAAUAAUAAUAAUCCAUCAAUCAAACCAUUAAUUCCCUAAUUUUUAAUAAUCCAUUAAUUCUCUAAAUUUGCCCAGUAAAUUAAAGAGUUUACAUGCAAUAUUGAUGUCUAUUUCUUCAUGUAGAAAAUAUUGGACGUUUCAUAAUAACCCUCGAGUUGUAUUGAUUUAAAUUAAUAAAAAAAUCUGUAUUGUGCGUGAAUUUUUUAGAGGAAGAGAAUCCAUUAAUAAAUUGAAAGGGGGAGUGUAACCGUGCAGCUAUAUAGAUGCAGACCAAAGAGAGAACUGGCAAUGGAGGAUCCAGUUCCGUAGUUGGAGAAGAAAGGUGUUUUACGCCGGUAGAGCAAGAUAUUUAAUUAAAAAAAAAAAAAAAGUUAACGGAAACUAAAAACGUUAAAAUCCCAAGAACUGAUCUACAUUUUUAAUCUAACAUAAUAAUUAACGGCAUUUAUGGUUCUAUUUUAUUGAUUAUGUGAACCAUAUCAGAAUAUACGUUAGUAAACAAUAUAUGCUGAAUAAUUUCUCGUGAAUAUAAAUAUAUUAUGUAGUGAUAAUAGAAUUCUGUUACUUGUAUCUUCGUGAGAUAUAUUUAUAUAAAACCUCUUAUAACAGUAUAGUUAAGUCUAAUCUCUAAUGCUAGUCUUGGUUACAGAAAAGUUUAUCUUUGGUUCAUCUUUGGCUUUAUCUGAUGCCACAUAUCAAUGCCACAUAUUAGAAGAGUUAUGUAGUGUCUAUCACCGAUUGAUUGCUUUUUUCUCAAUAUAUGGUGAUUCGAAAGAAAAAAAGUUAAUCCAUUAUGUUGCUUUUGUACGUGCUUAGUUUGCGUUCUUCUGAAUACGAAAUAACUUGUACCAACCUGAUUAAUGAGCCUUGUUUCCUUUUCAAAAAAAAAAACAAAAAAAGAAUGGUGAAAAAAAAAAAAAAGGAUUAAUGAGCAUACCUAAGGUCGCUGAAGCAUUAAAGGUUGGUUGAUUUAAUAGCACCACGUAGCAAAUACUGAUUGAUUGAUGUUUUAUAUUUUAUGGUUAUUACUUAAUAAGGUGGUUACAUUAACUUGUCACAAUGUCGAUUUUGGGGUAGACAUUGUAUUUAAAUAAAAGCCACCUACUCUACUCAGACAAAAAAACAAAUAAUUAAAAAAAAAAAAAAGA